rnacentral:rRNA from 1 species
AGUGAACGCUGGCGGUAGGCCUAACACAUGCAAGUCGAACGGCAGCACAGUAAGAGCUUGCUCUUACGGGUGGCGAGUGGCGGACGGGUGAGGAAUACAUCGGAAUCUACUUUUUCGUGGGGGAUAACGUAGGGAAACUUACGCUAAUACCGCAUACGACCUACGGGUGAAAGCAGGGGAUCUUCGGACCUUGCCCGAUUGAAUGAGCCGAUGUCGGAUUAGCUAGUUGGCGGGGUAAGGGCCCACCAAGGCGACGAUCCGUAGCUGGUCUGAGAGGAUGAUCAGCCACACUGGAACUGAGACACGGUCCAGACUCCUACGGGAGGCAGCAGUGGGGAAUAUUGGACAAUGGGCGCAAGCCUGAUCCAGCCAUACCGCGUGGGUGAAGAAGGCCUUCGGGUUGUAAAGCCCUUUUGUUGGGAAAGAAAAGCAGCAGGUUAAUACCCCGCUGUUCUGACGGUACCCAAAGAAUAAGCACCGGCUAACUUCGUG